AUACGGAGGAUCCGAGCGUUAUCCGGAUUUAUUGGGUUUAAAGGGUGCGCAGGCGGCCAUUUAAGUCAGCGGUUAAAUCGUGGGGCUCAACCCCAUUCUGCCGUUGAUACUGGGUGGCUUGAUUGCGGUCAAGGUUGGCGGAAUUCGUUGUGUAGCGGUGAAAUGCAUAGAUAUGACGAAGAACACCGAUUGCGUAGGCAGCUGACCAGACCGCAAAUGACGCUCAUGCACGAAAGUGCGGGGAUCGAACAGGAUUAGAUUCCCUGGUAGUCCGCACAGUAAACGAUGAAUACUUGUUUUCGGCGAUAUAAUGUCGGAGGCAAAGCGAAAGCGAUAAGUAUUCCACCUGGGGAGUACGCCGGCAACGGUGAAACUCAAAUGAAUUGACGGGG
rnacentral:rRNA from 1 species